rnacentral:rRNA from 1 species
AUGUCUUCCUCAAGCUCCCGCGCCACCUCGUGGAUACAGAGCUAGGCGCGUGUGGACAUGCAUGUCUUCGUCUGUCCGCGGUGCCGGGCGGGCGUUGAUCGGAGGGUUUCUCACACACCGAGGAACUAGAAUCGUUUCUACGUGUGCAGCGAGAAUGGGGUGAAAUGCUUCUUUCUUUGGGUCGAUGCUGCCAAGACUCUGAUGAAUGAACUGCAAGAAGAGCAUGAAGAAUGGUUGCGCAUGCUGCCACGAACGGCAGUGGUCGCAGCACGAGCUCCGGAAGAAGAGAUGGAGGGCGAAGCACGCACUGACAGAGAGCUAGCUGUUGAGCUUAGGAUGUUGAAGAAGAAGGUUAGGAAGCUUGAAGAUCAAGCACAAAUACCAAUACCCAUUUGCAAUUCCUUUUGGGCAUUUGUAGGUAUGGUAAUCGCACUGGGUGUAAUGUUGAAAUUGUAUGGAAAGGCGUGA